rnacentral:rRNA from 1 species
GACGAACGCUGGCGGCGUGCUUAACACAUGCAAGUCGAACGAAGUGGCGAACGGGUGAGUAAUACGUGGGUAACCUGCCCUCCUUUUUGGGAUAAGCCUUGGACACGGGGUCUAAUACCGCAUAAAGGGGGAUGGGCUCGCGGCCUAUCAGCUUGUUGGUGGGGUGCUGGCUUACCAAGGCGGUGACGGGUAGCCGGCCUGAGAGGGUGACCGGCCACAGUGGCACGGAGAUACGGCCCAGGCUACUACGGGUGGAAGCAGUGGGGGAUAUUGCACAAUGGGCGAAGGCGUGAUGCAGCGACGGCGCGUGGGGUAUGAAGGCUUUCGGGUUGUAAAGCUCUUUCGCAAGCGAACGGGUAGGUUGAGAAGAAGCGCCGGCUAACUACGUGCCAGCAGCCGCGGUAAUUC